AUUGAACGCUGGCGGCAGGCCUAACACAUGCAAGUCGAACGGUAACAGGAAGCAGCUUGCUGCUUCGCUGACGAGUGGCGGACGGGUGAGUAAUGUCUGGGAAGCUGCCUGAUGGAGGGGGAUAACUACUGGAAACGGUAGCUAAUACCGCAUAAUGUCGCAAGACCAAAGAGGGGGACCUUCGGGCCUCUUGCCAUCGGAUGUGCCCAGAUGGGAUUAGCUUGUUGGUGGGGUAACGGCUCAUCAAGGCGACGAUCCCUAGCUGGUCUGAGAGGAUGACCAGCCACACUGGGACUGAGACACGGUCCAGACUCCUACGGGAGGCAGCAGUGGGGAAUAUUGCACAAUGGGCGCAAGCCUGAUGCAGCCAUGCCGCGUGUAUGAAGAAGGCCUUCGGGUUGUAAAGUACUUUCAGCGGGGAGGAAGGGAGUAAAGUUAAUACCUUUGCUCAUUGACGUUACCCGCAGAAGAAGCACCGGCCAACUCCGUG
rnacentral:rRNA from 1 species